CCUACGGGGCGCUGCAGUGGGGAAUAUUGGACAAUGGGCGAAAGCCUGAUCCAGCCAUGCCGCGUGUGUGAAGAAGGCCUUCGGGUUGUAAAGCACUUUCAGUGGGGAAGAAAGCCUUGGGGCUAAUACCCUCGAGGAAGGACAUCACCCACAGAAGAAGCACCGGCUAACUCCGUGCCAGCAGCCGCGGUAAUACGGAGGGUGCGAGCGUUAAUCGGAAUUACUGGGCGUAAAGCGCGCGUAGGCGGUCUGAUAAGCCGGUUGUGAAAGCCCCGGGCUCAACCUGGGAACGGCAUCCGGAACUGUCAGGCUAGAGUGCAGGAGAGGAAGGUAGAAUUCCCGGUGUAGCGGUGAAAUGCGUAGAGAUCGGGAGGAAUACCAGUGGCGAAGGCGGCCUUCUGGACUGACACUGACGCUGAGGUGCGAAAGCGUGGGUAGCAAACAGGAUUAGAUACACCAGUAGUC
rnacentral:rRNA from 1 species